rnacentral:lncRNA from 1 species
UGUCGUACCCAGAAUCUUCCCAGCCGAGGAAAUUAUCGGGGAGGGGAACAGGAAUCAUCACCCCGGGGGGGAGGGGCGAUUGACGAGGCGAAGGUGGUAGGGAUCUAAGUGGCGAUUGACCAGGGCUAGGCUUUGAUCGCGGUUGGUCGCCAGGAAAUGAAGGGGGCUGAAAGAGAGGAGGCGAGCUGGGGCUUGAGGGGGCUGGCUGGUCGACAGGUGAUGAUGGCGGUGGAGGAGGAGCAGCCGGGCUGGGGCUUGAGGGGGCUGGCUGGUCGACAGGUGAUGAUGGCGGUGGAGGAGGAGCAGCCGGGCUGGGGCUUGAGGGGGCUGGCUGGUCGACAGGUGAUGAUGGCGGUGGAGGAGGAGCAGCCGGGCUGGGGCUUGAGGGGGCUGGCUGGUCGACUGGUGAUGAUGGCGGUGGAGGAGAAGCAGCCGGGCUGGGGCUUGUGGGUGCUGGCUGGUCGACUGGUGAUGAUGGCGGUUGAGGAUCAGCAGCCGGGCUGGGGCUUGUGGGUGCUGG